rnacentral:miRNA from 1 species
CCACGUAAAUUUAUUACUGCAAAGCUUUCGAUCCGUAAGCCCGGAUCCUCAUCAAUGCUAAUAAUAUGAUCGAAAGCUUCGCAGUAAUAAAUUUACGUGGUGUUUCCA